UGGAUUCGAAAAACACAAGGACGUGGUCUUAAAUGUAAAAUAUGAUAAGUGAAAACCCGACUUGAAGGAAAUUAAUUAGUAUUUAUUGAAAUUUAAAGGGAGAUUUUGUUCAUUCCAUAAAAUAAACUUAUCAAAACUAGAUUGUACAAUAUUUGCACCAUUAUUAGUUUUAAAUUCAAAAUACAAUUUCACGUCAUCAGCAAUAAUAAAAUAUUGAUAGUGGUAUGAGGACCAAACGAAUAUUUAAAAUAAAAAUUAGAAAUAGUAAUUAUCAAAGGUGAGAACCCUGAGAAACACCAGAGGUCACUUUUUAGAGUAAAAAAUAAAGGUUUUUACAGUUUACUCCAAUUUUAAAAGCUUUCAAUUUAUAAUAUAAUAAUGAGUCCUUUACUUUUUAGAAAUCAGUUUAAAUAGUAUCAACUUAAUGCCCGCUAUCAAAGGAUUAUGUGAG